UCAGGUGCGAAAGCGUGGGGAGCAACAGGAUUAGAUACCCUGGUAGUCCACGCCGUAAACGAUGUCUAUUUGGAGGUUGUGCCCUUGAGGCGUGGCUUCCGGAGCUAACGCGUUAAAUAGACCGCCUGGGGAGUACGGCCGCAAGGUUAAAACUCAAAUGAAUUGACGGGGGCCCGCACAAGCGGUGGAGCAUGUGGUUUAAUUCGAUGCAACGCGAAGAACCUUACCUGGUCUUGACAUCCACAGAACUUUCCAGAGAUGGAUAGGUGCCUUCGGGAACUGUGAGACAGGUGCUGCAUGGCUGUCGUCAGCUCGUGUUGUGAAAUGUUGGGUUAAGUCCCGCAACGAGCGCAACCCUUAUCCUUUGUUGCCAGCGGUCCGGCCGGGAACUCAAAGGAGACUGCCAGUGAUAAACUGGAGGAAGGUGGGGAUGACGUCAAGUCAUCAUGGCCCUUACGACCAGGGCUACACACGUGCUACAAUGGCAUAUACAAAGAGAAGCGACCUCGCGAGAGCAAGCGGACCUCAUAAAGUAUGUCGUAGUCCGGAUUGGAGUCUGCAACUCGACUCCAUGAAGUCGGAAUCGCUAGUAAUCGUGGAUCAGAAUGCCACGGUGAAUACGUUCCCGGGCCUUGUACACACCGCCCGUCACACCAUGGGAGUGGGUUGCAAAAGAAGUAGGUAGCUUAACCUUCGGGAGGGCGCUUACCACUUUGUGAUUCAUGACUGGGGUGAAGUCGUAACAAG
rnacentral:rRNA from 1 species